CAUUACUAUGCAGAGCUGCGAACGCGACACACACAGGGGAGGUCUUGUCUGGACUUACAUGUGUGUAGAUGGACGAGGAGCUCCUCAGAGGUGCUCACACACACACACACACUCACACACACACACUCACACACGCCAUGAAAGAACAAAGAGAAGAGACUGACCUGCAGCGGUCCACUGUUGUUCAUGUUCCUCGUGUUUCUUCAUCCUCAGCUGUGGAUGUCUCUCCUCUGAGGACGUCUGUCACUCAUCUGUUCAAUUAAAGAGGAAAAAUGGAGUUAAUUGAUGCAACAGGCAGCUGAUGAAGAAAAACACGGGUCAUGAG